GACAGAGGAUGCAAGCGUUAUCCGGAAUGAUUGGGCGUAAAGCGUCUGUAGGUGGCUUUUUAGGUCCGCCGUCAAAUCCCAGGGCUCAACCCUGGACAGGCGGUGGAAACUACCAAGCUGGAGUACGGUAGGGGCAGAGGGAAUUUCCGGUGUAGCGGUGAAAUGCGCAGAUAUCAGGAGGAACACCGGUGGCGAAGGCGGGUCUCUGGGCAGUAACUGACGCUGAGGAGCGAAAGCGUGGGGAGCGAACAGG
rnacentral:rRNA from 1 species